rnacentral:lncRNA from 1 species
GAUUAUAUGAUACCGUGUUGGGUAAUGAUAUCUUACAAUUGAAUAAAAAAAACUAUUUAAAGAGUACACAUGAAUGAACAUAAUAUGUGACUAAUUGUUUAGGAAAUUACAAGUUCAAAAUGGUGGAAAAAAUAAUGGACACCUGUUAGUUAUCAGUUGAGCAUUUUAUUCUCUAUUUACAAAUUGUCCGAAGAUUAACAACUUUUGACACUUGUUGACAUAUUCAUUGUUAGAAUGUGUGAAAAGGAGUUUAUUUUGGAAGAUUAAUAGCAAGUUAACACAGACGUAUUCUAUUCGUAGUUUUAAGUCAUAAGAUUUAAGUCGUGCGAGGAAUUGUCUUUCGUUGUAAAUGGGUAAAAAUAACAUGGAACUUGUACAUGUUUUGGAAAUAAAAAGGGAAAUCUACAAGGAUGGUGUUAAUUCAACAAGGAAAAUUUUCUAGUUAAAUGAAAUAAGUAGUACAAAAUGGCUGGAGAACCAUGACAUAGCAAAUAUUCAGGAAUUAAUUUUCAUCAAAUCGUAAUUUCAGACAUAAAAUUUUGAAACGUAAUAAGAUAAGAAGCAACACAACGUUUUACAUACUACAAUAUACGUGUUAAAAAAGAACUUUCACGAUUGUAAUCUGUAUGGAAGUUGACGAUAAUGCAACCCAGUUGUCAUUAAACUACUCUAACAGUUACGACAUAACAACUAUCCAAUUCAACUUGUCAACCAACUCAGGUGACUUUUCCAGUACCGAUGUCCAAACUAUAAAAGAGGCAGCAAAAUGGUUAUGGAUAAUUAUUUCCCCGAUUCUACUCGUGUUCGGUUUGAUUGGAAAUAUAGGAAUAUUAUUAGUCCUGUGGAAAAUAAAGUUUGCAAGAAUUUGACCUAUAUAUUUUUAUUCAUUUUAGCCACUGUAAACACAGUUGUUCUCAUGGUUGGUCUAACAAGGUAUUGGAUAUUGGCAACUUUCGACAUCGACAUUCGGGAUAUCAGCACGUCAGGAUGUGUGUCACAGCUAUUUCUGAUCUAUUUUUCUAUGCAUAUGUCUUCCUGGACUCUUGUGUGCAUAACAACGAUAAGAUUUCUCCAAAUAAAAUUCUCUCUCCGUUGCCGAGCUAAAACGUUUUCAAAAAUGUUGGCUGCUUUGUACAUUGUUACCCUUGUGAUUUGUGUAGCACUGGAUUUACACUUUUUCUUUACAAAUGGUCUUAUUCUAGAAGAUAACGAAUAUAUAUGCAGCAAUACGUCUACCGAUUAUUAUGAAUUUGAGGAAAAAGUUUAUGUUUUAAUUGACUUAGCCAUGCUGUCAGUCAUACCCUUCCUCAUAAUGUUCGUUAUGAACAUAUUUAUUGGCAAAAGAGUUCUAAAAUCCAUUGCUUUUCGUAGGACAUCUAUUUCCAACAACCAAAGCAGACGUCGUGUAAACCGUCAAAGUAAAAGAAUAACGCAAACGUUAUUUUUUACUAGCCUAUAUUUUAUAAUAACAACAUUGCCAGUCUCAGUUUUGUUCGUUGUAGACUCAUAUCUACCUGAUAAUAAAACAGUACAAAUGCAGGCAAAUCUAGAUCUCGUGAAAGCAGUUUUAUAUUUAUUCCAGUUUUCAUUUUAUGCUAUAGGCUUUUAUAUAUAUAUUGAAUUAAGGGCAAGCAUCAGAGGGAUUUUUCCAUGCUGCAAUGACAAACAUAGGUAAGUUUCUUCAAAAUGUGUAAUUCAAAAGUUGCAUAAAAUAGAUGUACUUUUAAACAAACGGACUAAUUAAAAACAAAACGACCUUUCGUGAACCUAACAAAAUAAAUAAAUAGAACUCGGUAUAAACAUGUGGUUGUAGAUCAAUUAGACGGUUAAUAAGUCGUUAUACAAUCGACGAUCUACCAUAAACUUACGAUUUAGUAGAUAUGAAUGAAAAGAGAUGUAUAUGUCAAUAAGAAACCAACCCAUAACAAUCUUAAUCGAAAAGACACAUAGAGAAAAAAGAGAGAAAAUCAUAUAGACUAGAAGGGUGGCGUAACAAUGUGUUUUUAUAUAUAAAUCUUAUUAUAAAUAUGUAUUUACACAAUCAUUCAAACCUACACAGAAAGAUUUAUUGUGUAUAUUUUUUCUUUUAAAUUCUCGAUAAGAUAAGUUAUACAAAUUUCUUCAAAGUAAACAUGGUAAAGGCAACGGAAUCAGACACAUUUACAAUCCAGUAAAAAUAAGUACCCGAUAGCAGUUUUUUUUCAAUUUUUCUCUCAAUAGCGUUCGCAAUUAUGAUAAAUCUCUUUUUAACUAGAUCACAGUUCAUAAAUGCAUGCAAUAAAGAAUAGAUUGAGACAUUUUGGAUGUCAGGCUGGUAUGGUGCAUUACCUAUUAUUAUGUAUUGAAAUAAUUCACAUUUACAAAUGCAAUGUGUGUCUAAUUUAAUUUGCCUAGCUACGCUUUAAUUUUGAUUCAAUAAAUGUAUAUUUCAGAUCAAACAGUCAGACCUCUUUUUCACGAAGAGCAACUUUUUCAACAACUAGUCAAUAUCUCAGUAACGAUGAAUCAACAGAUUCAGAAUUGAUAGGAUUGAGCUGG